ensembl:piRNA 21ur-15407 ncRNA
UACAAAGCUGAUUUCGAGUUG